AAAACACUGCUAUUAUUUUAUUCAUUACUGUGGUAAUAAAUGUUACCAUUUCUUGUUCAUGAUAUUCUGUCUAACUGGGGGUAGGGGCGCCUCGCCUGUUCAGUUAGAUCUUGGAAAUAGGGGUGGUGUCAAAGUAGUUCAGCAUCCAACUCUCAUACACCAUACACCCUUCAGGCUGCCACCGGAUAUUCUCGACCUCCU